rnacentral:rRNA from 1 species
GACGAACGCUGGCGGCGUGCUUAACACAUGCAAGUCGAACGGAAAGGCCCUGCUUUUGUGGGGUGCUCGAGUGGCGAACGGGUGAGUAACACGUGAGUAACCUGCCCUUGACUUUGGGAUAACUUCAGGAAACUGGGGCUAAUAUCGGAUAGGAGCUCCUGCUGCAUGGUGGGGGUUGGAAAGUUUCGGCGGUUGGGGAUGGACUCGCGGCUUAUCAGCUUGUUGGUGGGGUAGUGGCUUACCAAGGUUUUGACGGGUAGCCGGCCUGAGAGGGUGACCGGCCACAUGGGGACUGAGAGACGCACCAGACUCCUACGGGAGGCAGCAGUCGGAAAUCUUGCGCAGUGGGCGGGAGCCUGAUGCAGCAACCCCGCGUGCGGGAUGAUGGGCUUCGGGUGGUGAACCGCUUUCGCCUGUGACGAGGCGUGAGUGACGGUAAUGGGUAAAGAAGCACCGGCUAACUACGUG